GACGAACGCUGGCGGCGUGCUUAACACAUGCAAGUCGAACGGAAAGGCCCUGCUUUUGUGGGGUGCUCGAGUGGCGAACGGGUGAGUAACACGUGAGUAACCUGCCCUUGACUUUGGGAUAACUUCAGGAAACUGGGGCUAAUACCGGAUAGAAGCUCCUGCUGCAUGGUGGGGGUUGGAAAGUUUCGGCGGUUGGGGAUGGACUCGCGGCUUAUCAGCUUGUUGGUGGGGUAGUGGCUUACCAAGGCUUUGACGGGUAGCCGGCCUGAGAGGGUGACCGGCCACAUUGGGACUGAGCUACGGCCCAGACUCCUACGGGAGGCAGCAGUGGGGAAUAUUGCACCAUGGGCGGAAGCCUGAUGCAGCAACGCCGCGUGCGGGAUGACGGCCUUCGGGUUGUAAACCGCUUUCGCCUGUGACGAAGCGUGAGUGACGGUAAUGGGUAAAGAAGCACCGGCUAACUACGUG
rnacentral:rRNA from 1 species